GACGUUGCUCCAGCAGUUAAUUGCUCUCACUGCCAGCAUCUUAUUUUCCUCUGGAAUUUAUCACGCUUUAGUCCAAUCAAGUGCUCGUCUUCUGGGCUCUCUGUUAUACGAGUUCAGCAAGAAGUGCUGGGUCUAUUAGAGCAACAAUCCCCAUAGCACAGGAUGCCUGCACUGACAUUGAGAUACCACAGUCAAAUCAUCCUCCAAAGCUUUCUUUUGGCAGCCUGAACCCACUGAACGCUGCCUGCAGGUGUGCACGCUGAACCCCUGGCUUUCACAUACUCGUGGCCUCCCUCUUAGAGGGUGGAAGACCAGACAGAAUGCCCUCUUCCAGUAGUGGACUUCAUGUCUUCACUUUUGUGGGUAAUGUAUCCACGUGCUCCAAAACAUUUGUUGUUUGACUUACAGCCAGAUUACCGUAGCUGAAUUCAGUAGCCCAAACAAUCUGCUUGCUCUGUUACUUGCCAUAUCAUCAAUCCUGAUUGUCUACAACGAACAUCAAAGUGAUGAGAAGAACAAGUAGAGGGAGUUGAGGAUGAAGGAAGACGGAUGUUGGCUCACCACCAAGAUCCUCAGCAACAAGCUGUGUGCUUGUGUUGCUGCAGCCAGGCUAUGUUUAGUAUUGCACAUCGGGCAACGAGAUGCUUUACAAGGCAAGGUGAGCCAGGAGCCAAGGCAGCACCCUCACCCAUCAAGGCAUGAUCCCACAGCUCCCAAACAGAGCACCCAGCAGUGCCCACCAAACACUGGGGAUGAACCAAAUCCAAAAUACAUCUAUGAAAUCCCAUCAGGAAAUGGGGCCAGAAAUAAGCCACAAAAUCCAAAACCCACCCAAGAGAGACCAGAAGAAAGACCAAAGACGAGCAUGCAUAUAGCCUGAUCCAAGCCCAAGAGCUUAAAUGGAGCUCCUGGACCUAUGGGAAGCCAGUGGGUGGAUGGGGGUCCCCGAUGAACCUGCUCUGAGACUGGUAGUGCUCUGGCUCUGACAUCACAUCAGGGAUGUCUCUAAUCCUAUGACCAGGAGCUUUUUUAUCAUCUUCUGCCCAGAAAGGAGGAUGCUUCCUGGCCCAUGGGCUGCUGGAAGAGGCCCAAGCAGCCUCCAUUGCCUUUGUGUCUGCAGCAGGCAGAACUCAAGGUAGGUGCUCAAGGCCUGCAGGCAGCUACCAGUGACUGCAAAGACAGCAGCAGCCUCCAGCGGCCAGCUGGCAAACGACAGCAGUGUAGUUGUGCAUCUUGUGUCCCAUGGUGAACAACAGUGUCGCCUCACGCCCAACAUCCCACAGUGAAGACCAGUGUGGCCUCACACCCAACAUCCCAUGGUGAACUCUGGUGCAGCCUCAUGUCCAAUGUCCCAUGGUGAACACCGAUGCUGCCUCGCAUCCAAUGUCCAGUGGUGAACGCCAGCAUGGCUUCACAUCCAACAUGACACAGUGAAGACCAGUGUGGUCUCACGUUCAGUGUCACAAGGUGAAGAUCAGCAUCACCUCAUGCUCAACAUCACACAGUGAACACAGGUGUGGACUCAGCUCUCAUAUCGCAUAGUGAACACCAGCCUGGCUUUAUGUCCAUGUUCCAUAGCAAACACAAGUAUGACUUUGCACCCAGCAUCCUCACAUGGCAUGGCAAAACCAGCUUCUCUGUCAGAUGGGUUGUCACAGUGGGCCCAUAGAGGUGUCCUUGGUGGAUGCCUCAUCCCAUGCAUUUCCUGCAUGCCUUCCAUGAGCUGUUGUUCCCCAGAGAACACCUUGUGGUGGAGGAGCCCACCCAGGUGCCUGGAGAAGCUGCAAAAUAGGAGUGGGCGAGCCUGCUUUCCAGUUGUCUCCUUUUUUUCAGCCCUUUGAAAUAAUCACAAUCAUAGCAAUUAUUGCAAAGAUAAAAUAGCAAGGAUUAUGAAAUCCUCACAGGCAAAGCUCUCCAUCAAUUAGCUAAAUCAAUCCUUGCUUCAAAAUAUAAUCC
ensembl:lncRNA